rnacentral:SRP_RNA from 1 species
GCUGGGCGGGGUGUGGCGUGCCUGUAGUCCCAGCUACACAGGAGGCUGAGGUAGGAGGAUCACUUGAGCCAAGGAGUCCUGGGCUGUAGUGCGCUAUGCCGAUCAGGUGUCCGCACUAAGUUCGGCAUCAAUAUGGUGACCUCCUGGGAGCAGGGGACCACGAGGUUGCAUAAGGAGAGGUGAGCCGGCCCAGGUCAGAAACGGAGCAGGUCAAAACUCCCGUGCUGAUCAGUAGUGGGAUGGCGCCGGUAAAUAGCCACUGUACUCCAGCCUGGGCAACAUAGUAAGACCCCAUCUCU